ACGUAGGGGGCAAGCGUUGUUCGGAAUUAUUGGGCGUAAAGGGCAUGUAGGCGGUUUUGUAAGCCUGGUGUGAAAUCCUGCAGCUUAACUGUAGAAUUGCAUUGGGUACUGCAAGACUUGAAUCACAGAGGGGAAACUAGAAUUCCAGGUGUAGGGGUGGAAUCUGUAGAUAUCUGGAAGAAUACCGGUGGCGAAGGCGGGUUUCUAGCUGAUGAUUGACGCUGAGGUGCGAAAGUGCGGGGAGCAAACAGGAUUAGAUACCCUGGUAGUCCGCACCGUAAACGAUG
rnacentral:rRNA from 1 species